GUGCCAGCCGCCGCGGUAAGACGGAGGGUGCUAGCGUUGUUCGGAAUCACUGGGCGUAAAGGGCGCGUAGGCGGCUCAUGGUGUCGGAUGUGAAAGCCCGGGGCUCAACCCCGGAGGUGCAUCCGAAACUCAUGGGCUGGAGGUCGGAAGAGGAGGGUGGAAUACCCAGUGUAGAGGUGAAAUUCGUAGAUAUUGGGUGGAACACCGGUGGCGAAAGCGGCUCUCUGGUCCGAACCUGACGCUGAGGCGCGAAAGCGUGGGGAGCAAACAGGAUUAGAUACCCCGGUAGUCC
rnacentral:rRNA from 1 species